CACAUAUUUACUGCUUAAGUGGACUCCGCCAUUUUUGACAAGUUUGAUAACAUGGAGACGGCCGAUGUGUUACUGUAAGCUUGUGUGUGCAUGUGAGAAUGAUUCUAAAGUUUGUUCUUUCGGACGAAAGACAAUGUGCAUUUUUGUGAGACAGUUGCGGAUCAGAUUGGUUGGUUUUGAAUUACGACAAGGACAAAUAAGUAUAACAAUUACACUAGCUCAGUAUUAGUGGGAAUCGUGACAUUUCACUCUGAUCAGCGGCUCAAGUGAGUCAAGUUUUUAAGUAGGAAUAACAUUUGAGCAAAGCAAACGCGUAAAUCACUGGUGCGUCCAGCCAAAAGCCAUGGUCACACUGAGGACCCAAAUGUCAGAAAUUCACUUGUUUACACUUCCUGGACGGAUCCAAGGUCAAUCUCUUGCGGCGGUUGCUCUUCAUCUUCAAUGCUGACCCCCUCGGGCACGGCCGCUUCUUCGGUAUCGUCGUCAAAGACCACGGGGGGUCGUCGAGGCACGUCCUCGGGUUGGAGAUCUGGGGUCAAGCCCUCAACGACCUCAUCGACCUCAUUGGAUUCCGUGGCUUCGGCCACUUCAAUCUCAGUUAGGUCUCUCGUCACAGCUGCAUCUUCAGACCUGAGACUGAGGUCGAAUUGAGAUUCUUCUGGAAUGAUGAACACAUCGUCUAACCGCACUUCGGCUAAGGGGUCCCUGGUCGUGGCUGGUUGGUCCACUCCAGCUUCAGGAAGGUCGGGAACAACCUCGUCUCCUUCGGAAUCAUCCUCUUGGAUUUCUGAUGCAAAUGGGUCAAAGACGUCGUCGAGCUCAAUCUCGUCCAAGGGAUUGCGUCGACCCUCCGCUUCAGUAGUUUCGGUGGCCGUAGUUUCAUCGGCCGUGGCAUCAUCGUCUUGGAUCUCUGACGCAAACGGGUCAAAAACGUCGUCUAAUACAAUUUCUUCCAAGGGAUUUCGACGCGUUUGUGUAUCAGCCAGGUCAAUGGUGGUGGCUUCACUGUCGGAAUCGUCGUCUUGAAUUUCCAGUGCAAAAGGGUCAAAAACAUCGUCCAAUUCGAUCUCAGCCAAAGGGUUUCUUCGUGUGAUAUCCUCAGGUUGUUCGGUGACCGUGGUCUCCUCAACCUUUUGAGCCUCCUGAUCAGCUUCGAAUCGGGCCUUGAGUUCGUCGAUCUCAUCCACAGCAUUUGCCUCCUCCUCAUCCACCUUGUUCAAGAGGUUGUUGAGUGUUUCAUCAAAGGAGUGCAAGGUGCCACUGAAGGUCUCCGUGAUGGCGUCCGCGGUCUGAAAAAAAAAGGCAAAUAAACACCGCCACAAUUUGUUUACUCUUGAACUUGAGACUCAUCCUAAGAAUCUGGAGACGCGCUAGGUUUCCUCGUUUCCAUAGUAAUUUGUGUGACGGUUUCCAACCACGCGAAAAGCAACAUUUCAUGACGUUGUUGCUCAAUCACCCUUUUUGGAAGCACUCACUCGCCAUUGUUUGAAGAUUUCAUGCUUUGGGAGUCCAAUUUUACGCACUGAAUAUGUCUUGAUUGAUCAGGAAGUCAUGUCUUGAGACCAUUGAGGGAUCUCUUGACUACAGUUACUACUACAACUACACACCUCCAUCAAAGUCUUAGAGCUCUUUUAUGUGGGACUGGUAGGCGUAGGUUGGAAGCCAUUGUUCAGUGUUUUAGCUUGCUCACGGCAUUUUCCUAAACUGGCUUGAGGUUUCAGCUUGAGCAAAAAAAUGGAUGGAUUACUUUAAUCGUGCUCUUAAAUCUUGAUCACUGUUAUCAGACUUCCUGCCAUCGUUUUCCUGCCAACUGGGCUUAAAUCAAGCUUUGAACAUCUGGCUUUACUCACCUCUUGCAACUCCUCAACGGCCAUUUCAGCGGCCUUUUCAAGCUCAUCCUGGUCUUCAGUCGUCAUCUCCACCCUUUCAGUGGUGACUUCUUCCAUGGGUUCGUCUGUGGAUUCCUCUACAGUUUCGGUGGUCUCUUCCAAAGCCUCCGUAACAGGGGUGGAAAUGGUGGUUGUGUCAGCCAUGAGCUCCUUACGAUUGGCUUCUUCAAUAGCCUUUUUAAUGGCUUGCUCUUCCAACAUCUUUUGAAGGUCAAACACUGGGGCUUUAUCGUCAUCGUAGGUCACUCUCUGAAUCUCAUUCUGAUUCUGAAACUGAUACGGGUCCUUGACCGUAACUGGACCAAAACCUCGUAGGGGGCCAUGGGCAAAUCCGCGGCCGAACCUCAUAACCUGCGAUCACAAAACAACAUAUUAUGGUCACCCUUCUGCGUCCAGUAAGUUAUGGUCCUAGACCGUACCCUUGAGUAACCACUGUGAAUUCUGACUUCGGGAGCACUUUCUUCUGACCUCGACGACGAGAGCUCAUCUCCGAAUCCUCGGAACUGUUCUUCGGUCAGAGACUGAGGUAGAGGAAUGGCCAUAACCACAGAUAGAGUGGAUGUGAAUGCCAGGAGGCAGGAUAUCGUAAACCUGAGAGACUUCAUUAUAGUUUGUGUUUUCUUUUGUUUUGCUCGAUGGAUGGCUAAGAAUGGGAAAUUCUUCCUCGCCUUUCAAUUUCAGGAUAGAAGAUUGGGCAACCAAUGACGUGCACGAGCUGCAAAAGAAUUUGUGAGAGGAUGGGUAAAACGUUGGACUAAAUCAAAUCAAGCAGGUUGGUUCGUGUUAAACUUUGUACUUCCUUCCCGCGCCCCGAAUCCUGAUCGACCAAGAGUGAGUGACAUGUGUGAUAUCCUGGAGAUGCAUUCGGGUGUUGGCGAACCUCCACAGCAAUCGAUGACCAAGACGCUAGUCCACCGCUAAUGGCGAUCUUGACCGCCAUCUUACAUCUAUAUCUCCUGGCUUCAAUCUGGCCACAAUAAUUGAUGUAUUGAGAAAUAAUGGUCUUAGCUGAGUAUUUGGAAGGUCUCGAGAAAAUGAACUCAUGUGGUUCGCAAGGUUUGCGAGUCCAUUCAAAUGAUUGUUUCCUUAACUGUCCAAAAAGGACUGUUUGGAUGGAGGAAAUGGUGGCCUUGAACUCGAACCAACCCAGGAUAUCCCCAUAACGAAUCGACAAUCCAAAAAUCCCUGACUUCCUGAUGGAAAUUCCCACCUACUAGCCGUACUACCGUGUGUACCAUUCCUCAAACCAAGAACCACAGAGUCGAAUUGGUGAUGUCUUGAAUAAUUCAAAUUAAUUGCGUCAGACAAAUACACAUCUGUUUGGUGUGCGUACCUUUGUCAUGAA